rnacentral:rRNA from 1 species
UACGUAGGGUCCAAGCGUUGUCCGGAUUUAUUGGGCGUAAAGAGCGUGUAGGCGGCCUGGUAGGUCAGCUGUGAAAACUCGAGGCUCAACCUCGAGACGCCGGUUGAAACCAUCAGGCUAGAGUCCGGAAGAGGAGAGUGGAAUUCCCGGUGUAGCGGUGAAAUGCGCAGAUAUCGGGAAGAACACCCGUGGCUAAGGCGGCUCUCUAGUACGGUACUGACGCUGAGACGCGAAAGCGUGGGGAGCGAACAGG